UACGAAGGGGGCUAGCGUUGCUCGGAAUCACUGGGCGUAAAGGGUGCGUAGGCGGGUUUUUAAGUCAGAGGUGAAAUCCUGGAGCUCAACUCCAGAACUGCCUUUGAUACUGGGAAUCUUGAGUAUGGAAGAGGUGAGUGGAACUGCGAGUGUAGAGGUGAAAUUCGUAGAUAUUCGCAAGAACACCAGUGGCGAAGGCGGCUCACUGGUCCAUAACUGACGCUGAGGCACGAAAGCGUGGGUAGCAAACAGG
rnacentral:rRNA from 1 species